rnacentral:rRNA from 1 species
CAAUAGCGUAUAUUAAAGUUGUUGCAGUUAAAAAGCUCGUAGUUGGAUUUCUGUUUCCAAUUUCCGGUCCGUUUGUCUCUGAUAGAUGUGUACUAUGGGAAUUGAAUUCAUUUAUUGUGAGCGCCCUUGACUGGCAUUAAGUUGUCUGGUUUUGUGGACUUGCAUCUUUUACUGUGAAAAAAUUAGAGUGUUUAAAGCAGGCAAUCGCUUUUGAAUACAUUAGCAUGGAAUAAUAAGAUAUGACACUGGUGGUCUAUUUUGUUGGUUUGCACACCAGAGUAAUGAUUAAUAGGGACAGUUGGGGGUAUUCGUAUUCCUGUGGAAGAGGUGAAAUUCUUGGAUCACAGGAAGACGAGCUUAGGCGAAAGCAUUUACCAUGGAUGUUUUCAUUAA